UACGAAGGGGGCUAGCGUUGCUCGGAAUCACUGGGCGUAAAGCGCACGUAGGCGGACUCUUAAGUCGGUGGUGAAAUCCUGGAGCUCAACUCCAGAACUGCCUUCGAUACUGAGAGUCUCGAGUCCGAGAGAGGUGAGUGGAACUGCGAGUGUAGAGGUGAAAUUCGUAGAUAUUCGCAAGAACACCAGUGGCGAAGGCGGACU
rnacentral:rRNA from 1 species